rfam:Microgenomates (Woesebacteria) bacterium GW2011_GWB1_40_101 TT72_C0017, whole genome shotgun sequence.
GUUCUACGGUAGCGAAGUUCCUUGUCGGGUAAGUUCCGACCCGCACGAAUGGCGUCACGAGCUAGUAACUGUCUUGAACAUUCACUCGGCGAAAUUGCGGUGGCUGUGAAGACGCGGCCUAAUUCCACCAGGACAAAAAGACCCCGUGGAGCUUUACUGUAGUUUGACAUUGCUUUCAUAUUUUUUGAUUGUCAAGAAUAGGAGGGAGAGAAAUCGACAGUGUGAUACCUCUCUUUGAAAAAUAUGAGGCUUACUCAAUUCCGAUGAAUACUCGGGAGGGGAAAGUGUUAGAUGGGCAGUUUUACUGGGGCGGUACCCUGCCAAAGUGUAACGCAGGGGUACAAAGGUUGGCUUACUACGGAUGGAAAUCGUAGGGAAAGCAUAAAGGUUUAAGCCAGCUUGACUGCAAGCGAGAAGUCGCGAGCAGGUGCGAAAGCAGGUCUUAGUGAUCCCCCGACUCACAAUGGGUGUGGUCGGGGCCUAACUGAUAAAAGCUACCCCGGGGAUAACAGAGUAGUCGCGCCCGAGCGUCCAUAGCGACGGCGCGGUUCGCUACCUCGAUGUCGGCUCAUCAUAUCCUGGCGCUGGAGAAGGUGCCAAGGGUCGGUCUGUUCGCCCGUUAAAAUGGUACGUGAGCUGGGUUCAGAACGUCGUGAGACAGUGAGUAGUCCAAGCGGUCUCUCUUUUAAGGCGUUUUGAUAUUCGAAGGUGGAAAUUACUUUUUGUCCAAAUUAUUAGAAUUAAAAGAUAUAAAUCUGGCUAUUUGCUGGAAAAUCUCGUUAAAUAGUUGAGUACUAGUAUAUAAUUAAUAUACCAGUGAAAAUCUCAGCUCUGAGACUAUCAGCAGGAAAGGCUAGUUCUUGAUGUCUAUUAAGGUUAGUAAUGACUAUUUUGCUGGUUUUGUUGAAGGUGAAGGAAUGUUCUACGUUGGAGUAGUUCGAUCACCCGAAACCAAAACAGGCUGGCAAGUUAUUUAUUUUUUUAAAGUAUCUCAAAAUCCAAUCGGAUUAAAAGUUUUAGAAGAACUAAAAAGCCGUUUGAAUUGCGGAUAUAUAAAAGAAAAUAGUCAAACUGAUCCAACUGACAAAUCGUUAGCAUAUAUAGUGCGCGAUUUGCCAAACUUAAGAGACAAGGUAAUUCCGUUUUUUGAAGGUAGAUUGAUUAUUAAAAGAAAUGCUUUUGAAGCAUUUAAACGUGUUUUAGAAAUUGUUAACACGAAAAAUCAUUUAACCUUAAACGGUAUUAAAGAAAUUCUUGAUAUUGCAUAUUCAAUGAAUACCAGAAAAAGAAGGGUAUCAAAGAAACAAAUAAUCAAGAGUUACAAGAAUUAGAAUCCUCACAGGCCAUACGCCAGAUCCCGAGCGACUAAAAGGAGUCGAGGGAAAGAUAUGGUCGGAUCUCUAUGGCGACAUAGAGUUAACUAUAAUGUCGGACUCUAUCCGGUGGAAUCGUUCGAGUUUUGAAGGGAGCUGGAGACAGUACGAGAGGACCUCUCUGGAGGAAUCCCUGGUGUGCCGGUUGUGACGUCAGUCGCAACGCCGGGUAGCUAUAUUCCUAAAGGAUAACCGCUGAAAGCAUCUAAGUGGGAAGCCCACCCUAAGAUUAGAACUCGUUACAGACCCCUAGAAGAAUACUAGGUUAAUCGGCUGGAAGUGGAAGACCCGUAAGGGUUUAAGCUUACCAGUGCGAAUCGGUCAAAUGACUUACGAAC